rnacentral:rRNA from 1 species
UACGGGGGGGGCAAGCGUUGUUCGGAAUUACUGGGCGUAAAGGGCUCGUAGGCGGCCAACUAAGUCCGACGUGAAAUCCCCAGGCUUAACCUGGGAACUGCGUCGGAUACUGGUUGGCUUGAAUCCGGGAGAGGGAUGCGGAAUUCCAGGUGUAGCGGUGAAAUGCGCAGAUAUCAGGAGGAACACCAAUAGCGAAGGCAGCUCGCUGGGACGGUAUUGGCGCUGAGGAGCGAAAGCCAGGGGAGCAAACGGG